UCUGGCCCCCUCCAGGCCCCAUCCGGGAGCUUCUUCAUGUCUGGCAGCUAAAGGGUGAAGUCUGGCAGAGCUGGUGCCCAGGAGCCCGAGUCUGCGUUACAGCUAGUAUCCACUGUCAGGCUCUGCGAGCGUUUCCCCGGCUGUACCCAUGACUAGGAUACGUGUUGGCAGAGACACUUGGAAGGAGCUUUGCUGUGGCAGUGCUUGAAGGUCUGAUUCACUGAGUCUGAGAGAUGGAAAUCAUGGGGGCCCAAGUCGGGAUGUUGUUAAUGGAAACACAAAUGAAAAAAAAAAUCUCCCUCAGACCAUCUCCCACUCCUGGACGCUGUUGCAUACAAGUGCCAAGAGCAGGCAUCUUUCUUCAUCUCUGAUUUCAAAGGGAAAGCUAAACAUUUUCUAUCAAAUAUUUUUGCAUGGGUUAAUUUUUAUCAAACACUUCAAUGCUUUGAUUAAAAUAAUUUUCCUCCUUUAUUUUGUUAGCAUGCUAAAAUAACACUGUAUUCUAGCAAACCAAUUUUACAUUCAUGGUAA